rnacentral:rRNA from 1 species
UGGGGAAUAUUGCACAAUGGGCGCAAGCCUGAUGCAGCCAUGCCGCGUGUGUGAAGAAGGCCUUCGGGUUGUAAAGCACUUUCAGCGAGGAGGAAGGUGGUGAACUUAAUACGUUCAUCAAUUGACGUUACUCGCAGAAGAAGCACCGGCUAACUCCGUGCCAGCAGCCGCGGUAAUACGGAGGGUGCAAGCGUUAAUCGGAAUUACUGGGCGUAAAGCGCACGCAGGCGGUUUGUUAAGUCAGAUGUGAAAUCCCCGGGCUCAACUGGGAACUGCAUUGAAACUGGCAAGCUAGAAGUCUCGUAGAGGGGGUAGAAUUCCAGGUGGUAGCGGUGAAAUGCGUAGAGAUCUGGAGGAAUACCGGUGGCGAAGGCGGCCCCCUGGACGAAGACUGACCGCUCAGGUGCGAAAGCGUGGGGAGCAAAACAGGAUUAGGAUAACCCUGGUAGUCCACGCUGUAAAACGAUGUCGAUUUUGGAGGUUGUGCCCUUGAGGCGUGGCUUCCGGAGCUAACGCGUUAAAUCGACCGCCU